AAAAGAUUGACAGGUAGAUUUUAACCAUCGCUGCUUUAGAACCUCAUCAGCAGCCCCCUCCCCCCCUCGCUUUUAACUAUCUCUGGUGGGAAAAGAAAGCAAAAGAAGGGGUGGGGAGAGAUUUUCGAUCAAAUUCUCAGAUCUCUCUCUGUACGAGUUCAAGACCUUUAAUCGCUUUAUCAAAUAACCAAAAUGGGCCAGAAAUCGUUGAUCUACUCAUUCGUUUCCUGUGGAAACGUGAUUCUUGCUGAGUACACAGAAUUCAGUGGCAAUUUCAAUUCCAUAGCGUUUCAGUGCCUCCAGUAGCCCCCUGCGACCAACAAUAAGUUCACUUACAACUGCGAUGCCCACUCCUUCAAUUACCUCGUUGACAAUGGCUACAUUUAUCUCUCGUUCUCUGGUCAUCUCUCGUUCUCGGUCCAUUAGCCAUGGGACGUGGUAGAAAGCGGCAGCUACCAGAGUUAACCCUCGAUAUAUCGACGGAACUGCCAGAAACCGACGGCAAUUCCCCGGAGUGUUGUGGAUCCAAGGCGGGACAUGGAGGCGGCGAUGUUUUGCCACAGGGAAAGGAGCAGUCUGCGGAAAAUAAGAGCACUACAGUGUAGUGAAGAACACUACAGUGGACCUAUUGAACAGAGAGGUGAAAAAGUGGAAAAAGUUGAAGACGAAAGCCCAGCGAAUGGUCAGACAUGAAAGAGAAAGGUCAAGCUCGCCGCUCUUGGUUAGUGACCUUGGUGCUUUUAUUAUUUGGAAAUUCUGAGAAUAAGGUGUUUGGUGAUUUUAUUAUUUGUAAUUCUGAGAUUGUGGUGUCUGGUGCUUUUACUACAAAUUUUAAGUAAGACUAUGAAGUUGUGAUUUGGAGAUUUUAGAUCUCUUUAGAAUGAGUUUACUGUAAAUUUUUUUUAAUGGUUUUAAGAUGUUCGGAGAUUUUUUUUAAUGAAGUUGUGAUUUGGUGCUUUUCUAA